GAUGAACGCUGGCGGCGUGCCUAAUACAUGCAAGUAGAACGCUGAAGGAAGGAGCUUGCUCUUUCCGGAUGAGUUGCGAACGGGUGAGUAACGCGUAGGUAACCUGCCUGGUAGCGGGGGAUAACUAUUGGAAACGAUAGCUAAUACCGCAUAACAGUAGAUGUUGCAUGAUAUCUACUUAAAAGGUGCAAUUGCACCACUACCAGAUGGACCUGCGUUGUAUUAGCUAGUUGGUGAGGUAACGGCUCACCAAGGCGACGAUACAUAGCCGACCUGAGAGGGUGGUCGGCCGCACUGGGACUGUGUCACGGCCCAGUCUCCUACGGGUGGCAGCAGUAGGGAAACUUCAGCAAUGGGCGGAAGUCUGACCGAGAUACGCCGCGUGAGUGUAGAAGGUCUUCGGAUCGUAGAGCUCUGUUGUAAGAGAAGAACGAGUGUUCGAGUGGAAAGUUCCCCCUGUGACGGUAUCUUACCAGAAAGGGACGGCUAACUACGUG
rnacentral:rRNA from 1 species